GAAAUGAUGACUGUUGUUUAUUUACUGCUGAUACUCAAAGUGGGGCGAUGCACAGAUGAUCAGAUCUUUGAGAACAGGACUGUUGGUGUGGGAGGCGAUGUGAGACUGACUUGUCCUCGCAAGUCUACAGGAAGCUUGUUUUGGAUAAGGCUCGUUUCUGGAGAAUUUCCUAAAGUCUUAGGAAAAACAUUUAGCUUUGAGAGUGAUCCUCGCAUUACCGCCACAGAGGAGCCCGGGACAUUUGUUCUGCAUAUUGCAAAAGCAAGGCUAAGUGAUACUGCAGUUUACUACUGUAUGAGAAUACAUCAACACAACUUCACAUUUUUAAAAGGAGCAUGCAAUGCAUUCUUUAAUUUCAUUACAGAGUUAUUCUUAAAAAGUAUGGUGACAGUUGUCUUUUGUUUGAAAAUCAAUGUUGAAGUUUUAUACUUUAUUAAAUUUCCCAAGACAAGAACCUUAUCCCACUGCUGUCCCUCCAUCUGAUCCAGUUGGUCCAGGAGACUCAGUGACUCUGCAGUGUUCAUUCCUUUCUGACUCUGAGAACUUGUCCAGAAAAACAAAGUGUGUUCUGUUUCAGAGCUGGAUCACAUCAAUGUGACUCAGAUUUUAAUUAUACUCAAGAAUCCAGAGGGACUCUUGACAAAGAAAUGUAUCUACAGCUUCUUUAAGAACGUCAGCUCCUCUGAUGGCGGGACUUAUCACUGUGCUGUGGUCACAUGUGGGGAGAUAUAUUCUGGAAACGGAUCAGAACUCGAAACUGAAGGUAACCGCAUUGUAUUUAAAUGUAAUAAGAUAAUGAGAAUGUGUGUGUUCAAUUAAGGUCAAGUACCACAACAUUAAAUAUGUAUGAAUUACUCUUAAUUACACUUUCACUAAUUGUUAACUUUUCAUAUUGUGUCAGCAGUCAACAUGCAGGACUCUCAGAAGGACCAUACUGUUCUGUUAGGUGCUGCUUUGGCUAUAAGUCUGAUUGUUAUAGCCUUUCUCAUUUAUUCAAUCAAGAAGCUUGUUACGUCCCCAUUUCAAUCAGGAGAGACUUCCUUGCAAAUAUGAACAUGUUUAUUGUACAGGACAAAAUAUCGAAAAUGAAAUGUGCAAAGUCUCUGGAGAUUAGACUCCAUCAAAUCCAUGUUAUAAAAGGGGUAGUGAACCCAAACAUAUCCCCCGAUGGAGUCCAGACACUGGUGGUGGUGAUGAAGGCGCCCAGGACCCAAUCAAGAUUGCCAUUCAGCUGACGAUCCCCGGAGGACUCUGUUCCUGAAACGACAGUUGACAACUGCAGAGGAGAGAGAAGAUUUAAAACAGGAUGUUAUGCUGUGAUUGGCUUGUGAUACAUGGCUGAAUCUGAUUGGUUUAGCUAACAAUGAAACAGCCGAAACCAAUGGAGGCCAUGGAACAGCUGAUCAAUUAGGAGUGAUGAAAAAAGAGAUUUGAAGUCUUCCUGUAAGAACUUACGCUGAGCUUCAUUUGUGGUGUCCAGGGGAAAAGGGGAGCAACAAUAAAUAAUAAGCUGGGUGUUCAAAGAAAGAAAGGAAACAGAACGAUUCGUACCAUUAAACUAUUUAUUUAGACAUAAAUGAGCCCACUAUUAACACAAAACAACCACCCUAAAAGAAUGGAGGUGAAAGACCAUUCAAACUAAACAAGCCACUAAUCCAACCAAUAACACAAUCCCUCCACUGAGGGAGUAAUGACAAGACGAAGAGCACCACACAGCUCUGGUUCACGACCAGCGAUACAACUCUGCUCGGCUAUCAGGCCCACUGGCAUUAAUGCUGUGUUUUUAUUUUAUAAUACAGCUGCUGUUGCACUGCAAACAAAUGCUGCAACAGCCAGUGGUCAUCAGCAAAGUCAGCAGGCAGAUGAGGACUUGGUUUAUUCUGCACCAAUCUUUACCAGUAGGAAAGCUAGCAAAUGAGGGACAAGGGAUGCAAAACAGAGGAGGAAGAGUGUCUACUCUGAUGUCAGGGCUCUGGGGUUGGAAUAACACUCUAAACACUAGAUUUGCUACUCAUUUUAGUCUGCACAUGGUAAAAACAUUUGCCUCUAAAGUUGGUAAAUAAUACU